GAUGAACGCUGGCGGCGUGCCUAAUACAUGCAAGUCGAGCGAACAGACGAGGAGCUUGCUCCUCUGACGUUAGCGGCGGACGGGUGAGUAACACGUGGAUAACCUACCUAUAAGACUGGGAUAACUUCGGGAAACCGGAGCUAAUACCGGAUAAUAUAUUGAACCGCAUGGUUCAAUAGUGAAAGACGGUUUUGCUGUCACUUAUAGAUGGAUCCGCGCCGCAUUAGCUAGUUGGUAAGGUAACGGCUUACCAAGGCAACGAUGCGUAGCCGACCUGAGAGGGUGAUCGGCCAUACUGGAACUGAGACACGGUCCAGACUCCUACGGGAGGCAGCAGUAGGGAAUCUUCCGCAAAGGGCGAAAGCUUGACGGAGCAACGCCGCGUGAGUGAUGAAGGUCUUCGGAUCGUAAAACUCUGUUAUUAGGGAAGAACAAAUGUGUAAGUAACUAUGCACGUCUUGACGGUACCUAAUCAGAAAGCCACGGCUAACUACGUG
rnacentral:rRNA from 1 species